rnacentral:tRNA from 2 species
GCCCGAGUGGCGGAACGGCAGACGCAGCGGUCUCAAAAACCGCGGGGGAAACUCAUGCGAGUUCGAAUCUCGCCUCGGGCACCA